GUGAGGAAUAUUGCGCAAUGGAGGCAACUCUGACGCAGCCAUGCCGCGUGCAGGAAGAAGGCGCUACGCGUUGUAAACUGCUUUUAACCGGGAAGAAACCCCAGGACGUGUCCUGGGUUGACGGUACCGGAGGAAUAAGCACCGGCUAACUUCGUGCCAGCAGCCGCGGUAAUACGAAGGGUGCAAGCGUUAUCCGGAUUCAUUGGGUUUAAAGGGUGCGUAGGCGGAGCGUUAAGUCAGUGGUGAAAUCCUGCAGCUUAACUGUAGACUUGCCAUUGAUACUGGCGCUCUUGAGUGCGCUUGAAGUGGGCGGAAUGUGCCGUGUAGCGGUGAAAUGCUUAGAUAUGGCACAGAACACCAAUUGCGAAGGAAGCUCACUAAGGCGAUACUGACGCUGAGGCACGAAAGCGUGGGGAUCGAACAGGAUUAGAAACCCGGGUAGUCC
rnacentral:rRNA from 1 species